CUACGGGGUGCAGCAGUGGGGAAUAUUGCACAAUGGAGGAAACUCUGAUGCAGCAACGCCGCGUGGAGGAUGACACUUUUCGGAGCGUAAACUCCUUUUAUAUAGGAAGAAGAUGACGGUACUAUAUGAAUAAGCGCCGGCUAACUCCGGCCAGCAGCCGCGGUAAUACGGAGGGCGCAAGCGUUACGCGGAAUCACUGGGCGUAAAGAGCGUGUAGGCGGAUUAAAAAGUCAGAAGUGAAAUCCUAUAGCUUAACUAUAGAACUGCUUCUGAAACUCUUAAUCUAGAAUAUGGGAGAGGUAGAUGGAAUUUCUGGUGUAGGGGUAAAGCCCGUAGAGAUCAGAAGGAAUACCGAUUGCGAAGGCGAUCUACUAGAACAUUAUUGACGCUGAGACGCGAAAGCGUGGGGAGCAAACAGGAUUAGAUACCCCUGUAGUC
rnacentral:rRNA from 1 species